GAGUUGUUGUGAAAGCACCAGCGGAUCGUUGGCGCUCAUCGUCACGAGUUCGGCAAUGCGCAACGCGCAGGGCGUAGUGGGCUCUUCCUUGAGGUCAAAGGUACGCCACGGACAGCCGCGCUCGGCUGCCCACAAGGCAGCGCACUGUGCGUCGCCUCGUCUGUUGUUGGCUAGGGCGAUCAGGGUGUUUGGGUUGGGCAACCGGCCAUUCCAUGCCAUCCACUCCCAGAUAGAGCGCCAACCAUAGGAUGAGGUGGCGCUGCAGCGAGAGACCAAACUCGUCGACCACCAGCCUGACGAUCCACCACAGACUGCGUGCAGACACUUGAUGGCCACCAGGUUGCACUUGGAGGCCGCCUUGCGUUGCGCCCACCAGCACUCGUCGUACGUGGCCUGCUUGAACAAGGGCAGCAAGAUGCGCGAAUUGCGCGUGGCCAUGGCGAGGCCGAGGGCCUCCUCGCCGACCAACCGAUCGCCGGGAAGUCGCUCGGCGAGGCGCACCGCCGCGUCUGCAUUGCCAUACUCGAUGGCCAUGGCGAUCACGCUCCGGAACCGGCCGAACCGGAAUGGUGCGGGCUCAGAGACGGACAUCGGCCACUGUGACAAAUACGUGCGUUCUAGUACAUCGGCGCGCCACACGGUCUCGGUAAACCACCAGCGCAUUUUGACGCCGGCCGUCUUCUCGCAAAACUGGGCGGCCUGCUCGUGGCCGCGUACGGAAGCGACAGCCGUCGUCAGGCCGCUGAAUCGAACGUCGUUGGCGGCCGCCCACAUGAGCACGUGCGUGUGGCCCCCGUACGCCGCAGCCAGAGUGAGCGUUCUGGGCAUAUAGUGCGCGCCGCCGAGCCAUGUGAUGACGUCGAGAUGGCCAUUCCGCGCCGCCUCUAGGGCUACAUGGCGCCACAGCAAGGACCGCAGUGGCGGCGGUUUGUCGAACGGGCCUGCGUCGAUGUUGAGCCACCCACGGCGCGCCGCGACAAUGACUCUGCACUCUUCGGCUGCCGUGGCCGACCACAAGCGCUCCAUGAUGUGGCCAUGGCCGCCCAGUGCCGCUGCCCUAUAGGCCUCAGGGGCGUACAAGCGGCGCUUUUCGAGCAGCCACUCUAUGGCCUCGCUGCGCCCGUGUCUCGCCGCGCGCCUGCUCGCACAACCAGGCACGUUGCGAUCGCGACCAUAAAGCCAGUCGAGUAGGGCGACGUUGCCCGUGUCAAGGGCGACGUGCCAUGCGCACCGCACGUUGGCGCGCCGAUCUUUGAGGAGCACCGCAAGGACAUCACAGUUGCCAUUGAACGUGGCCUGUUUGAUCGCACACCGGAGCGCCUCGCGGGCGGCGUCGUACUCGGCCUGGCGCUCCUUGCACCGAAACUUUGGCGGGCGCUGGGGUUGACGUUGGAGCAACUGUGUGGCGAGAUCGACGUGACCGCCGGCUGCGGCAGCCACGAGGCAGCGGUCGACAGACGAGGGGCAGCCGUUUGUCUGCAUCCACGCCAGGAGAUCCAAGUGGCCAUGGCGCACGGCCUCGGGGCAGGCGUCGUCGUCCCAUGGGCACCCUGCCUCGACGGCCCAUCGCACCAGAUCGAGGCGGCCGUCGCGCACAGCCUCUGCCAAAAAAGUGCGCCUUUUCAGAGGCCGACUUCCGAACCGCUGGCUCGACGCGAGGCCCUCCAAAGCCAACGCUCUCCAUAGCGGCGACACCAGCGCGCACACAAACCGGUCACAGGGGUCCAGUCGGCAAAGGAUGGCCGCCAACAUCUCGCACGGGAGAUCGUCUAUCGUUGUCGUUGUGCUUGUCGGCGAAUCGCUCGGCUCCAUUUUGUGUGGUUUUUGCUGUCCUUUGCUGUCUUUUUUUCUAUUUUGUCCUUUUAGCAGUGUCUCCUUGCCUUGCUGUUGCUUUCAGCAGAGGCACGGGAGGAUGCAACAGAGAGCCACGCCCAAGAACGGGCAGCAC
rnacentral:lncRNA from 1 species